rnacentral:rRNA from 1 species
UACGUAGGGGGCAAGCGUUGUCCGGAAUCAUUGGGCGUAAAGAGCGUGUAGGCGGCCAGAUAAGUCCGCUGUGAAAUCUCGAGGCUCAACUUCGAGCUGUCGGUGGAAACUGUCUGGCUAGAGUCCGGAAGAGGAGAAUGGAAUUCCUGGUGUAGCGGUGGAAUGCGUAGAGAUCCGGAAGAACACCUGAGGCGAAGGCGGCUUGCUGGGCAUGAUCUGACGCUGAGGCGCGAAAGCGUGGGGAGCAAACAGG